AUAUGAUAUUUGAUUAUUCAGAAUUUCAUAAUUUCUACUUUCAGGUAAUCAUUCGAUUUCUGACGAGGAUAUAAUUAUCAGUUGUUUGGAAUUAGAUCCAGACAGUCUAAUAAAAAAUAAAUUACCAGAAAAUAUCGAAUAUCAAACCAUUUUUAACAAUCGAAAGAAUAUAAUAUGGGAAUCUCUUGAACAUUUGUUGGAUUCUUAUAAUAGCGAUAACGAGAAAUUGUGCAAUAAUGAUAAUAAUAUGUUGUGCAGACUAUGCGGGCUUCAUAAUUUUUUUGGUACUAAGUAUAUAAAUCAUUAUGGUGGUUGUAAUAAGAAAAGACAAUGUAUGUUUGAUUUUCAACUUGAUGAAGCAAUUUAUGAUAGAGUUAUGAUAGAAGAUAUAUACAUAAAAAGCUUGGAUAAAAACUCUCAAAUGUCUAAAAGAAUUGCUAUAUUUAGGAUAGGAGGAAAUCCUUCUGAGACAUGAAAGAUUAUCAAAAUUAGUAUAGUAAAAACUCGUUAAUACACGGAUUUUUAUUAACCCAGUUAUUCAUUUAUCUUUUAACGUUAAAAAAAAUCACAGUUAAUACGAAUAACUGCAUAUGUUUAUAAGCAUCUCUAACUUUUAAAUAUUAAAAUAAUCCUGCUUAACACGUCGAUAAAAAUCAAAGAAAAUAUAACAAUUUAUCAUCAAAUGAAAUAACUUAAUUUUAUUAAAAAACGAUUCAACUAAAAUAAGACGUUUUAUCAGUUUGUACUUUACAACCUUCGCAGAUAGUUUGGUCGUUUUAUACUAUCAAAUUAUAUCGUACAAUAAUAUAUGUAUAUUUAUGUAUAGAUAAAGUGUUAUAAGUUUUCAUUUUUUCUUAAUAAUUUGGUUUUAAAUCCUAUUUAAAUCUCUUCUAUAGUGCAUCAAAGGGAUCUCACUUAAUACGCCUUCCAGUUUAAUAUAUGGUAAUACGAUAUACUCUUUGAGAGUCUAUUAACGAGGUUUUACUGUAUUACAUAUGCUAAUUAAUUUCAAACAAUAUUAAAAUAUAAAUAGAUAAAAAAUAAUUAUAAGUAUUUGAAUAACAUUUAAUUAAUUUAUGUAGUAAAAGAAUUAUACCUACAAAUUGAAACUUGUAUUGUAAAAAUAUUUAAAUUAUUGCUUAUAUGUAGAAAUAAUACUUUAUUAUUCAUAAAAUUUCAACU